rnacentral:rRNA from 1 species
CCUACGAGUGGCAGCAGUGAGGAAUUUUGGUCAAUGGGCGCGAGCCUGAACCAGCCAAGUAGCGUGAAGGAUGAAUGCCCUACGGGUUGUAAACUUCAUUUAUAAAGGAAUAAAGUGAGGCACGUGUGCCUUUUUGUAUGUACUUUAUGAAUACGGAUCGGCUAACUACGUGCCAGCAGCCGCAGUACUACGGAGGAUCCGAGCGUUAUACGGAUUUAUUGGGUUUAAAGGGAGCGUAGAUGGGUUGUUAAGUCAGUUGUGAAAGUUUGCGGCUCAACCGUAAAAUUGCCAUUGAUACUGGCAGCCUUGAGUACAGUUGAGGUAGGCGGAAUUCGUGGUGUAGCGGUGAAAUGCUUAGAUAUCACGAAGAACUCCGAUUGCGAAGGCAGCUUACUAAACUGCCACUGACAUUGAUGCUCGAAAGUGUGGGUAUCAAACAGGAUUAGAUACCCGUGUAGUC